rnacentral:rRNA from 1 species
CCUACGGGAGACAGCAGUAGGGAAUCUUCGGCAAUGGACGAAAGUCUGACCGAGCAACGCCGCGUGAGUGAAGAAGGUUUUCGGAUCGUAAAACUCUGUUGUUAGAGAAGAACAAGGAUGAGAGUAGAACGUUCAUCCCUUGACGGUAUCUAACCAGAAAGCCACGGCUAACUACGUGCCAGCAGCCGCGGUAAUACGUAGGUGGCAAGCGUUGUCCGGAUUUAUUGGGCGUAAAGCGAGCGCAGGCGGUUUCUUAAGUCUGAUGUGAAAGCCCCCGGCUCAACCGGGGAGGGUCAUUGGAAACUGGGAGACUUGAGUGCAGAAGAGGAGAGUGGAAUUCCAUGUGUAGCGGUGAAAUGCGUAGAUAUAUGGAGGAACACCAGUGGCGAAGGCGGCUCUCUGGUCUGUAACUGACGCUGAGGCUCGAAAGCGUGGGGAGCGAACAGGAUUAGAUACCCGAGUAGUC